GAUGAACGCUGGCGGCGUGCUUAACACAUGCAAGUCGAACGAUGAGGCCCAGCUUGCUGGGUGGAUUAGUGGCGAACGGGUGAGUAACACGUGAGUAACCUGCCCUUUACUCUGGGAUAAGCCCGGGAAACUGGGUCUAAUACCGGAUAGGAGCGCCUGUCGCAUGACGGGUGUUGGAAAGAUUUUUCGGUCAUGGAUGGACUCGCGGCCUAUCAGCUUGUUGGUGAGGUAAUGGCUCACCAAGGCGACGACGGGUAGCCGGCCUGAGAGGGUGACCGGCCACACUGGGACUGAGACACGGCCCAGACUCCUACGGGAGGCAGCAGUGGGGAAUAUUGCACAAUGGGCGGAAGCCUGAUGCAGCGACGCCGCGUGAGGGAUGACGGCCUUCGGGUUGUAAACCUCUUUCAGUAGGGAAGAAGCGAAAGUGACGGUACCUGCAGAAGAAGCACCGGCUAACUACGUG
rnacentral:rRNA from 1 species